rnacentral:rRNA from 1 species
UACAGAGGUCUCAAGCGUUGUUCGGAUUCAUUGGGCGUAAAGGGUGCGUAGGCGGCGCGGUAAGUCGGGUGUGAAAUCUCGGAGCUUAACUCCGAAACUGCAUUCGAUACUGCCGUGCUUGAGGACUGGAGAGGAUGACUGGAAUUUACGGUGGAAGCGGUGAAAUGCGUAGAUAUCGUGAAGGAAGACCAGUGGCGAAG